CAGUCGCCGCGGUAAUACGUAGGGCGCAAGCGUUAUCCGGAAUUAUUGGGCGUAAAGAGCUCGUAGGCGGUUUGUCGCGUCUGCCGUGAAAGUCCGGGGCUCAACCCCGGAUCUGCGGUGGGUACGGGCAGACUAGAGUGAUGUAGGGGAGACUGGAAUUCCUGGUGUAGCGGUGAAAUGCGCAGAUAUCAGGAGGAACACCGAUGGCGAAGGCAGGUCUCUGGGCAUUAACUGACGCUGAGGAGCGAAAGCAUGGGGAGCGAACAGGAUUAGAUACCCCAGUAGUCCCUGUCUCUUAUAC
rnacentral:rRNA from 1 species